rnacentral:snRNA from 13 species
AUACUUACCUGGACGGGGUCAAUGGAUGAUCUAUAAGGUCCAUGGCCUAGGGAAGUGACCUUCAUUGCACUCAGAAGGGGUGCUACUCUAAGGUCUGUCCAAGUGAUGGAGCCUACGUCAUAAUUUGUGGUAGUGGGGGCCUGCGUUCGCGCGGCCCCUUA